CUUUGACAUUUCCAUCUCCUUGAAUGAAUAUCUUGUCGCGAGGAGGAACAGUGGUGUCAAUCUGUGCUAGGUUACGUAAGAAGUAACCGGUAAAAGCAUGACAACACAGGUAAGUGUAAGGAACUCCCUCAGCUUCAAUUAUUCUCCGGAUUUUUGCUUUUUCCUCAAACACUUCUCUCACUGGUUCAACUGAGUCGUGACGAUCCACAUCCAGUCCAAAUUCAGAUGGGAAGAAUCUCUGUUGAAUAAUGGACACUUAAUAUGUGACAAUAUAUAGAAGGAUUUAUAUAUGGAAAUUUUUUUGCAUGAGCAAGAGUGGCACCUUGAUGUUUCCAGCUUCUUUUAUGGCUGCAAUGAUCUUCACCUGGUCUUCUAUGAGGAGUCUUCCAAAUGAGCAGAUUACGACAUCAACUUGUUUGAUUGCGCUGAGCAGACUUUGAUGAUCAUUCAUAUCUCCCUGCAGAGACAAAUGAGUAGUAUAAAUAGUCUGAGAAGAGUUGAAAAAGAGAAAAUGGUAAAAAUGAUGAUGAGAUGAAGAGAGGAAGGAACCUGGAUUAGAAAAACUCCAGAAUUUUGGAAGUUCUGAAGGAGCUCUUCCCUGGUUUCAGGAUUGGCAGCUGUGACAAGCCUUGGCUUGUUAACAGUGGGUGGAGUGUCCCUAACCAAGACAUAGGUGGGAUUGCCUGCCUUCACACUUGCCCACACAAUGUGUCUUCCAAUGGCUCCUGUGGGUCCCAAAACAAGGAUUCUAUCUUUUCCAGCCAUGAGAGGAUAUCACAGUGAAAGCAAGCACUGAGCAGUGUGUGGUUUUCUUGUUUUGUAGGUAACUGAUUAAAGCAAGAAUGGCUGUGUGAUGAAUAGACAGCAACACUUGGGUUGGUAUUUAUAGGGCAAGCAAGUUUUUGGGAUAUGAGAAAUGUGGCUGAAUAUGUCAACAAGAAUAACUGAGUAAAUAAAGAAAUAUGUAUUUUUUGACAGAAGGGAGGCUGCGCCAUGAAUUCAGCGGUCCAAAACCAACGAAUAUUUGAGUUUGGUAUAUGAUGUUCAUAAGAUGUGUUCUAAACGUAUAUCUACAGCAUUGGUCUCCAUGUUGAACGCACCAAAAAUAAACAAAUAUCUAUUUCCUCACCGCGCCCAUCUGCAUCAUGGCGUCAUGAAUUCUCAAGGCCAAUAAAAGCCAUCAUUUUGACUUUCGUUUAUUUUUAUUUUUAUGCAGCACAUAUGUUUGCAAAUAAACAAGCUAAUGUUUAAUAAAUUACAUCUUAGUGUUUUAUGUUUUAGAGAUUACUUAUGUUUGAUGUUUGUGUUGUGUAAGGUGUUCGUGUCUUACCUAGUUUGUAACUCAUUUGAAACAUAUACUCAGUUUAAUAUACGCUCCAGUCAAGAAGAUUAUUAAGCAAACUAGAAACUCAAACAUAUUUAAAAUAAAAAUAUUUUGAUUCGAAAAAUUAUCCAAUAUUUAGUGAAAAAUGGAAACAUGAGUUUGUAAGAUAUUUAAAAAAGAAAAACGUCAAUUUUGUGCAACAUACCACAUUGGAAGAAUCAGUCAAUGAAGAUACAGCAACCGAACAUAACUGUCAAAAAAGGGUGCAUUCAAUAAACAUUUUUGUUUUUUUGUGUUUUUCCUGCAACCGCCUUACAUAGUUUAAACAAAUGAGUCUAUGCUUUUGAUUAAAAUGAUUUAUAAUUUACAUAACAUGUUUCAGUUUUUAAUUAUUAUCUAGUUUUUAUCACAGGAAAUAAUACAGUAAAUAUUUACCCAAUGUAAAAUUGAUACAAAAUAAGUUUUAAAUGAUAAAAAAAAUUAUUAUGAUGAAGAAACGUAAGAGACAUGAGAAAAAGUUAUUAUGGAAGAAUUAUGAGUGAAGAAAUAAUAUGACUGUACUAAGCCCGGCGGUAAUCGGAUAAUGUUAUUAUAAUCUCUAAAGUUCUAAAAUGGCGACAUCGUUGAAUGUCUCUUUUCAUCUUUUUAAUAAAUUGGUUGAAAUCUUGUAGAUUCUUCUUCUUCUUUGGUCUUAUAACAAAAAUUAUUAAAAAUUUAGAAUCAGAACAAGUCAAUGAGUAAUUCUUUUAAAAUGUAAUAUUCAAAUAUGUUAUUAAUAUCUAAGGUUAAGAAUUUUAGUUUCUAUCCUUUUUUUCUAAAUCAUGGUACAUUAGAAUGUAGUAUAUUUACGAAUGAAUAAGUAUUCUAACUCUUUUACAUAAUUAUCAGUACAAGAAAAAUUUAUUUUAACUGUAAAAAAAAAAAGCUAUAAAAAAAAGCUAUUAAAAAGGUGAAGCCUAUUCAAUUGGACACAAAAAUAAAUAUUAAAUAUUGUGUCCACAAUGAAGAUCUAACUCACAUUAUUUUUUUUUAAAAAAGAAUAAUAAUAAGUUAGCGUCUAGAACGAAGAGACAAAAUAGAUGCAAUGAAAAAAAUUAAGUGUCAAAAUAAAAUUAAGUCUAGAAUCAACACACAAAGUGGAUGCAAGUUAAAAAUUAUUAAAAGUAAUAAUAAUAAGUUAGCAUCUAGAAUGAAGAACAAAGUAGAUGCAAUCAAAAAAUAAGUUGCAAAAUUAUAUUGCAUCCAAAAUAGGGACACAAAAUGGAUGCAAGUUAAUAUUUUAUUACAUUUAGCUUAUGUCUAGGCGACACUAAUAUUUGUUUCUCAAGUAGUGUCCCCAAUGGUGACACUAAGUUUAAUUAUUGUUAGAGAUUUCACAUCGACUAGAAAUUAGAACAUUUCAUAGUACAUAAGUGGUUGCAAACCUCACCUUAUAAGUUGAUUUUAUGAGGUUAAGUUAAGCUUAAAGUUCACUUCUUAAUAUGAUAUAGAAUCAUUUCGAGUCUAUCCUAACAAUUGUUUGUUGGUCUUAUCAGACCAUCUAGUAUCGGUAUGUUAUCAUACCACCCAUAAUAUAUAGUUCCACACAUAUAAGUGGGUGCAAAUAUAACCUUAUAAGCCAGUUUUAUGAGGUUGAGUUAGGCUUAAAGUUCAUUCUUAAUAAUUAUUUAAUUUUAUAUUCAUUUUAGUGUCCCCUAAACCUACACUAUAGUUAAAUAAUAUAUUUUUCUUUAUGUAGGCUUAGCUAACAUUAUCUUGUAAAUUUGUAUCCCAUUGGAGGUCGUCUCUAAUGCAUAGCCACCAAAAGAUUAGCUUCCAUUUCUAUUGGGACACUAAGUCCACAUUAGCUCCAUGUAGCGUCUUUCUUUUGCUCUUUGCAUCGCCUUUUUGGAGACUCUACCAUCAUUAUUUCUUGUAGUGUAUAGAAUAAAUUUUAAUGUCUGGUGACUUAUAUUGUUGUUUAUCUUCAUAAAAAAAAAUUGUUUUUUUUCUAUUAUAUUAAUGUAUUCUUUACUAAUUGUCACACCCCUUUUAUAUAUUCCAUGACAUGAUUUCAGUUACUAUAUCUUAUACAUCACUUAUACAAUAACAUAAUUAUGUGCAUAUAUACUCCUAUUUUUUACUACCUAUUUCAUCGUCAUUGUUUUCACUAAAUAGUUUGAGUACCUUAGCUUAUAGUAUCUUGUUGUUGUGUAUGAGAUUGCACGAAUGUAAAUAAAACAAAGUAAAGAGUUGUGUCAUUCAAUUGGAAAAUUGGGAUUGGGGGUUAAUCCUUCUCACUCUUUUGUAUUUUGAAAAUAAUAUAAUAUUUUUCUUUGAUUGAUAUUGAUGUUCAUAUAAAAUUCAUUUAUAUUGAUUCCUCACAUAUAAAAUUAUUAACAUAGUCUCAUGAAUAUCAAUUCCUCGCAUAUUUAUAAAAACUCCUUAUCGUUACGAACAUAUGUUGAUAUCAAUUAAAUUUUCAAAUCUAUCCAUAACAUUAUGUUAAGCAUUAUCAUUUAGGUCUUAAAAGUACUUUCCAGUAAAAUCUAAGAAUCAAAAUAAUGAUAAAUCAAGUGUUAAGAAUAAAAUUGCAAUACCAAUCAUCAAUCAAGAAAAAAAAGUUAUGUUUAAAUAUCAUCUCAAUACAUAAGAGUUUGAACAUAUUACUCUCAAUCCGAAAUGUAGAAGUGGUCAUCCAUGUUGGCCAUUACAAACAUGGAAAACAAGAUCCAAGAUAUGAUUCUCCUUGACGACGACCUCCUCUAGGAUUUUCUAUCUCCUUCUAAUGAUAUUAAUGAUGAUAUUAAUAUUAAUAUUUUUAUUAAUAUUGAUAAUAACAAUAUUAAUAUUAAUGAGAAUAUUAAUAUUAAUAACAUUAUUAGUAAUAAUAAUAUUAAUAAUAUUAUUAGUAUUAAUAAUAUUAAUAAUAUUUAUAAUAUUAAUAAUAUUCACAAUACUUAAUAAUAUUAACAAUAUUUAAUAAUGUUCCUGCAAAAGGGUCCAAAAACUCUCUUUAAGCAGAAUGUGUUGACUUCUCGGAUUGGGCUUUUUGGGUUGGACUCUCGGAUUAGGCCUUCGGGUUGGACUCUCGGAUUUGGCCUUUGGGUUGGACUCUCAGAUUGGGCUCUUAACUCCUACUUAGUUGAACCUAAGUUUGGCAAGCUUCUUAAGUUGGGUUGGAUCAACUGCACCCUUCGACUUCUCCUCUCGGUCUCCUUUCGCGGUUGGGUGUGUGUGCCUGCAAGACACUCCGAUGCCAAAGUCAGAAUUAGUUUUAUGUAAUUAUUAGAUAAAAAUCACUCCACUUACCUCUUAGACUAAUGUCCUAUUUAUAGUGUUUUCUUAUUGGGCUCAUAACCUAUUUGGGUCUUUCUUUUUGUACCUAAUAUCUUUUUAAACACACACCUAUUAAUCUGUGCCUUAUCAUGCUGGACCUUGCUACAGUAACCAUAUUUAUUAUAUAUAUAUAUAUAUAUAUAUUUCUUAUAUUUAACUUUUUUAUAUAUAUACUUUUCGACUAGACCUUUCAUCUAUACUUUUCGGUUAGACCUCUCGGCCUAGCAGUACACUAGCCCCUAGACAUGAGGAUUUUUGUUGAAAAAGACAUUAUGCCUAAAAAUAAAAAUAAAAAGGUGCAUUCAAAUCUUGUCGUAGAAAAAUCUUUUUUCAAAUCAUUUUGAUUUUGUAUUAAAUGCCUCGUUUUAUGUGUUUUUUCUCGAUCACAACGAUUGACUUGAUGUGAUAGAUGCACCUGACCGUUAGAUGCGAAACAUUUUAACGAUUAAGAUGUCAUGACCUUUCAAGUGUAGGGUUUUAUUGUUGUUAUAAAUAUCCAAUCUCAUUUACACUUUCUUGUAUUCUUACUUAUGAGAGUUUUAGUAAAUUGCAUCAAGGUAUAAUGUCUAUCUCCAACUCUGUUUCCGUGUCUGAUGAAUUUAUGGGUUUUUCGAGCGCGGGUGGCGAAUCUACUGGAAGAGUGAUACGAGACGACCGAGAUGCAUAUUCGGUUUCAUCAUCUGCUACUCUUUCAUGUACGAAGGAUUCAAAUGAAGCGACUACAAAUGUUGAAGUCGAUAGAGCCAAGAGGACUACACCAAGGAUAAAUCUUCAUCUCGGUAAUAUUUGGGUCAAUCCUAAGGUCUAAGAACUUUUCUCUCGGUAUCGUUCUUCUAAAGAUCUUCGUGAUUUUCUUUCAAAUAUUCACAUUUAUUCUCUCAAUGUUGUUGAAGAAAUAAUUUCUUUUCGUGUGGUGGAGAUGUUGAUAAUGUUUGUCAUGGUCGUGAAGAUGAUAGUUGUGAUUUUUUUUAAUUUUAUGAAUUUUUUUUACUGAUCUUCACAUUUGAUUUCCUUUAAGCGAAUUUCAAAUGGGUGUACUCAAUUAUCUAAAUAUUGCUCCUACCCAACUUCAUCCUAAUGGUUGAGCUUCUAUGCAAGCUUUUAGUAUCUUGUGUAAACUAAUGUCGCUUUUUCCUAGUCCAAAAGCUUUCUUGUAUUACUAUAGUUAUCGGCCUGGUAAACGACCAAGUUGGUUGUCUUUGAUUAGUGAAUCUAGAAUUUGUUUUCUUAAACCUUUUACUUCCUCAUAUAAGAAUUUCAAAGGAGGUUUUUUCAAAAUUCUAAUCGAGGAGGAUGGAAGGAAAUAUUUCUUUGAUGGUGAUGCUCCAAAAUUUCCUUUCUACUGGACUAGUCAACCCUUGAAGUUUAACUAUUGGUCAUACCAUUCGAUGGAUGUCGAAGAUCGUCCUGUUAUUGAAGUUCUCGAUCAUUAUCCUACCAGAUUCCUACUCGCGCUCUAUUACGGUUAUACACCUCAAAAAUGCCGAAAAAAGAUUUCUUUGGUAUGAGUUUGUUCAAAAUUUUGCUACGUAACAAGAGAUUUUUAACUUUGCUAAAUGUUUUAUUGGUUUUUAGGUUUGAUGGCUACCACUAAUCCAAAAGCUCAAUCUUACUUCUCCAAAAUUGUGAACAAAGCAGGAGGUUUGACUCCUCGGCCUGAACCAGAAAUUAAUCAUGCAGUUGAAAUGGAGAUUGUCGAACCGAUAUCUCGGGUUGAAGCUAUUGAGCUCGAAAAUGAUGAACAUGUUGUUGGUCCUUCACAAAAGAAUAAGAAAAGAGAUUGAAGUACUAGGAGAUCACAUUCAUCUUCUAGGCGUCAUCGUCAUAUCCAAGGUAGUUCUUCACAAUCACUUCUAGGUUCAAUCUUUGCUGCUACUACUCGUUUUCGGAAUUUAUUCUAACGAACCUUGAUGAGUCCUCGUACAACAUGCUUAAAGCAUUUGAUGUUCCAUCUUUGGUUGAUUUUGUUAUUGAACUUUCAAGUCGUGCUUUAUUAAUCGAAAAAAUGAUGAAGGAAAAAAGUACAAGCGUAUUUCCUAUGCUGAUUUUGAAAGGAUGAAGACUGAACUUGCUAAAUCAAAUGGAAAGCUUAAAUCUUUUAAUGCUCAAAUAAAAGAGUUAGAUACUUUGAAUUUUCAUCAAGAAACCGAGAAGCUGGAUGUAUCUGAAGCUGAAGGUUUUGUUAUUGAUCAACAUAAAUUGGGUUUCGACUUCAACAAGCCAAAUAUUUUUACAAGAUUCCCUUGGAUGAAUGAAACUUUGAUGUUGACAAGGACUUCUACAAUGGUAAUGGGUGUUAUCCAAAACUUGUGGGGUAAGUUUUUCUUAUUCUGAUUGGUGUCUUGAGCCUCCGGAUUACAUGAGAUCUAUCAGAUAUUGCUAGGUGGUUUUACGUGGGGUGGGGAGGCAUAGGAGUUAUGUUAUGAUGUUUUUUUGUUUGUCUGGUUUAUGUAUUUUUGGUUGGUCAUAGUGCUUAAUUGUAAGAUGUUUGUAUAAGAAUUGAGGUAUCCCUAAAAUACUCCAUUAUAUUCCUAGGUUCGAGUCCUAGUCAGUGCAAAAUGCCUCUAGGUGACUACGACGGAUCAUUGGAAGCCAAAAAUACAUUUUCUAAAUUUUAAGAUCAAUAGGACGAAUAAAAGUGUUAACUAGAUUUGGGGUUGUGUAAGUUGUUGGUAGAUACGCUAUGGAUUCAUAGGAAUAGGAAGAUUUUUAAAAUAAGUACGAUAGACCACAUUGAAAUUUUGAGAAUGAUGUAACUUAAGGUAUGAUCAUGGAUGUUAUCUAAAAUGUGUAAGGUAAGUUUUUCAUAUUUCAAUUGGUGAUUUUGAGUCUCUCAGUGAGAUCUAUCCUAUAUUGUUAGGUGGUUUUACAUAGGAAUUAUAACUUUCCAUUAUAUUCAUUCGUUUUUUUCCCAUAAAAAAAAAACUCUUUGACCGUCAACCCCUUGCUCAAGUCCACGGAGCUUGCGUCUUCUUUUCAAUAACAAUGAUAUUUUUUAGCUGAAACUAAUUUCUACUUUCUUUUAUUGCCUUUUCUCUUUAUCUUUCUCUUAUCACAUCCCUAGUUUACAUUUCCUUAUUUUAUCUGUUUAUUUAGUGUGCCUCUUUAAUUAAACUCCAUCACGAGUGCAGUCCAGUGUGCUUGAAAAAAUUUCCAGGGACCCUCAACACGAAGCAUUAAAAGAAGCAAUGAGACGCAUUCAUCCAAGAAUGAUGUAAAAAUUUAGAAACAGUACUUUUGACUGCAGAUUACAGUGUUGCUAUUCUUUUUGGGUUAAAAGAAGAUGCAUUAAUAUAAUAAAUGGUUUCUAAAGGAUUAGACAAACGAAGGAAUUUUGAAAGAAAGGAAAACGACAUCAUUAGUCUUAUUGGAGAUUGCAUGAUAAGAUAUGUUCCUGAAAUUUGAGAAAUCAGAGAAACUGGUUCAAGUAUUCAUCAACAGUGGUGUAUUUAACAUGUGGAUAAGCCUGAGAAGCCUCAACGUCUUUGGUGGGAUCAAUCUCAUAGACUGCAUCUCCCCUUAUCUGCUGUGAGUGAUAUAACGCCAACAGGUAAUUAUUUGGGAAAGACAACUCUGCAGUAAACCAAAACCAAAACCAAAAUAAAUGAAUACAUGGUUUAUUAAUUUCACAAACUUAUUAUUCAACCUGCAGCAAUAUUAUAUAAGAUAAGAGAGUGUUACCUUGAAUAUUUUUCAGAACCUCUUCCUCUGGAACAUAGAUUUUCUCAAUACUCUUUCCAAUUUUUUUCUCCCACAAAGACACAAUCUCAUUUAAGCUCAGAUAAUUUGCAGGAAGUCUUAUAUGCACGGCUUUGUUUAAGGUGUUAGGGUCAUUCACUGCUUCCACGGUGUAAGUCCCCACAUCAGCCUCAGUCACAUAUGCACCUGAAACAACUCACUCACAAUAUUAAUUAUAUAUAUACACAUUCUUCAACCAAUUUUAUCACUUGUUUUCAAGAGUGUGUGUGUGCUAAAACAAUUAUUAAUUAUAAGUACCUUUGACAUUUCCAUCUCCUUGAAUGAAUAUCUUGUCGCGAGGAGGAACAGUGGUGUCAAUCUGUGCUAGGUUACGUAAGAAGUAACCGGUAAAAGCAUGACAACACAGGUAAGUGUAAGGAACUCCCUCAGCUUCAAUUAUUCUCCGGAUUUUUGCUUUUUCCUCAAAAACUUCUCUCACUGGUUCAACUGCAUCUUGACGAUCCACAUCCAAUCCAAAUUCAGAUGGGAAGAAUCUCUGUUGAAUAAUCAACACUU
rnacentral:lncRNA from 1 species